UACACUUUGAUGUAAAUUCUGAUCUGAAAGUCUCGCGCGUUUAAAUAAUCGGAGUCUGAUCGCAGUGGGUGGAGUUGAGAAGGAGAAGCGCUCGAGGAGGGAAAAUGAGCGCCGCAGUGAGAAGCUCCGCCCCACCCGGUUGAUGUCAACCAAUCAGGAGGCGCUGUUUCUGUAGGGCAGCGCCGCGCUCGUGGAGCGGGUUUGUGAUUAGUGAUGACCGCACGUGAGGGAGUGAGUGAGUGCAUGCGGGUGUUUUUUUUUACUGCAGAGCCAGCGCGCGCGCCGUGAACUCGGUACCGUGCGCAGGUUUUCCUCUUCCUCGCGCAUUAGUUACGAUGAAUUAAUAAAGCGUCGCGCGCGGCACGUCUCGGUCCCGAGUGUGUGUGAUUUCUGUAUUUGAUUUUUGUUCGCUUUCUAACGCGGAUUUGUCCUUGCGGUUCCAUGCCCGCGCGCAGUAUGUGAAUGCCAUGCGGGCGGCGCGGUGCCUCCUCCUGUGGGCUGCGGUCUCCGUUACAGGCUGGAGCACCGCAUCGCGGCAAUGGCGAGAGAGAGAAGGAGGAGGAGGGGGGAUCGGGAACGGUAACGGCGACGGGCGCGCGCUUCGUGAAGAAGAGAUCACGCGGCCGCAGCGGCUCCAGCAGCGCGCGGAUCCCGAGGGCGGCGAGCUCGCGCACGGUCGCCUGGAUACCAGAGUGAAGACUGAGGACGCCGACGCGCUUCACGUGAGUGACGUUUCGUCCUAUUUCGUUCUCUAAACUAAACGAAGCGUUUAUCUAAUAAUAGUGAGCAGUAUUUUUGGGGGGCGGGGGAGGGUGGGGUGGACACCGAGAUUCAGUUGUUGCCUAAACAGUCACAGGAAAACUUUAGGCCGAGGGACUGAAGAGUGAUUUGUAGUGUCACUCAUGAUGUGUAGGUUUUGAUGACGGACAGUGUUGGAUUCUCUAACUGUAGAAGGAAAGGUCUAGAUGAACUAAUGAGCGGUAGGGUGGUGGUGCUGCUGCACCUGCCUCUGCCUCUACUGCUGUGACCUGCCUCUGUGACCUGCCUCUGUGACCUGUCUGUCUGCUGCUGCAAUGUUUUCUCCUUGCAAUCUAAAAACCUCUGGAUCAGUUUUGGACCCCCACUUUGUGCAAGUUUAGACAGGUCUUAAGAUUAAGCGAGCCGAAUUCAGUGAAGAUCAGACAAAAUUUGUAGGAGAUGAUGUAGCAG
ensembl:lncRNA